GCAAUUUAUACCGUGAAACUGCGAAUGGCUCAUUAAAUCAGUUAUCGUUUAUUUGAUAAUACCUUACUACUUGGAUAACCGUGGUAAUUCUAGAGCUAAUACAUGCUGAAAAUCCCGACUUCGGAAGGGAUGUGUUUAUUAGAUAAAAAACCAAUGCCCUUCGGGGCUUUUUGGUGAUUCAUGAUAACUUUACGGAUCGCAUAGCCUUGCGCUGGCGACGGUUCAUUCAAAUUUCUGCCCUAUCAACUUUCGAUGGUAAGGUAUUGGCUUACCAUGGUUUCAACGGGUAACGGGGAAUUAGGGUUCGAUUCCGGAGAGGGAGCCUGAGAAACGGCUACCACAUCCAAGGAAGGCAGCAGGCGCGCAAAUUACCCAAUCCCGACACGGGGAGGUAGUGACAAUAAAUACUGAUACAGGGCUCUUUUGGGUCUUGUAAUUGGAAUGAGUACAAUUUAAACCUCUUAACGAGGAACAAUUGGAGGGCAAGUCUGGGGUCAU
rnacentral:rRNA from 1 species